rnacentral:rRNA from 1 species
UCGAGCGGAUGAAGGGAGCUUGCUCCUGGAUUCAGCGGCGGACGGGUGAGUAAUGCCUAGGAAUCUGCCUGGUAGUGGGGGAUAACGUCCGGAAACGGGCGCUAAUACCGCAUACGUCCUGAGGGAGAAAGUGGGGGAUCUUCGGACCUCACGCUAUCAGAUGAGCCUAGGUCGGAUUAGCUAGUUGGUGGGGUAAAGGCCUACCAAGGCGACGAUCCGUAACUGGUCUGAGAGGAUGAUCAGUCACACUGGAACUGAGACACGGUCCAGACUCCUACGGGAGGCAGCAGUGGGGAAUAUUGGACAAUGGGCGAAAGCCUGAUCCAGCCAUGCCGCGUGUGUGAAGAAGGUCUUCGGAUUGUAAAGCACUUUAAGUUGGGAGGAAGGGCAGUAAGUUAAUACCUUGCUGUUUUGACGUUACCAACAGAAUAAGCACCGGCUAACUUCGUGCCAGCAGCCGCGGUAAUACGAAGGGUGCAAGCGUUAAUCGGAAUUACUGGGCGUAAAGCGCCGCGUAGGUGGUUCAGCAAGUUGGAUGUGAAAUCCCCGGGCUCAACCUGGGAACUGCAUCCAAAACUACUGAGCUAGAGUACGGUAGAGGGUGGUGGAAUUUCCUGUGUAGCGGUGAAAUGCGUAGAUAUAGGAAGGUACACCAGUGGCGAAGGCGACCACCUGGACUGAUACUGACACUGAGGUGCGAAAGCGUGGG